rnacentral:tRNA from 1 species
CGGAGUAUGACGCAGUUUGGCAGCGUGCCACCUCGGGAUGGUGGAAGCCGCAGGUUCAAAUCCUACUGCUCCGA